UACUUUGGUGGCGACCGGCGUACGGGUGAGUAACGCGUAUGCAACCUACCCUGUACUGGGGGAUAGCCCGGAGAAAUUCGGAUUAAUACCCCAUAAAGAUAUUUGGAGGCAUCUUCAGAUAUUUAAAGUUUCGACGGUACGGGAUGGGCAUGCGUAACAUUAGCUUGUUGGUAAGGUAACGGCUUACCAAGGCUACGAUGUUUAGGGGUCCUGAGAGGGUGAUCCCCCACACUGGUACUGAGACACGGACCAG
rnacentral:rRNA from 1 species